UCUAAAACUUGAGAUAUGGGUUGAACACUGAACAGUGUUUGGGCUACAUGAUAAAUUCCAACUUCUCUUGUUGCUACAAUUUCAACUUGAAAACGGUCGUUUUGAAUCUUGGACUCUAAUGAAAGUUUUAAGCCUAUGUCUUAGCUUUCCAUC
rfam:Populus trichocarpa scaffold_5_contig_291, whole genome shotgun sequence.